UACGUAGGGGGCAAGCGUUGUCCGGAUUCAUUGGGCGUAAAGAGCGUGUAGGCGGCCAGGUAGGUCGGUUGUGAAAACUCGAGGCUCAACCUCGAGACGUCGGUUGAAACCGUCUGGCUAGAGUCCGGAAGAGGAGAGUGGAAUUCCCGGUGUAGCGGUGAAAUGCGCAGAUAUCGGGAAGAACACCCGUGGCGAAGGCGGCUCUCUGGGACGGUACUGACGCUGAGACGCGAAAGCGUGGGGAGCGAACAGG
rnacentral:rRNA from 1 species